GUCCAGACUCCUACGGGAGGCAGCAGUGGGGAAUAUUGCACAAUGGGGGAAACCCUGAUGCAGCGACGCCGCGUGAGCGAUGAAGUAUUUCGGUAUGUAAAGCUCUAUCAGCAGGGAAGAAAAUGACGGUACCUGACUAAGAAGCCCCGGCUAACUACGUGCCAGCAGCCGCGGUAAUACGUAGGGGGCAAGCGUUAUCCGGAUUUACUGGGUGUAAAGGGAGCGUAGACGGCAAUGCAAGCCAGAUGUGAAAGCCCGGGGCUCAACCCCGGGACUGCAUUUGGAACUGUGUAGCUGGAGUGUCGGAGAGGCAGGCGGAAUUCCUAGUGUAGCGGUGAAAUGCGUAGAUAUUAGGAGGAACACCAGCGGCGAAGGCGGCCUGCUGGACGAUGACUGACGUUGAGGCUCGAAAGCGUGGGGAGCAAACAGGAUUAGAUACCCUUGUAU
rnacentral:rRNA from 1 species